UCUGCCUGCAAUUCCAUCCACUUGGGAGGUUGUGGCAUGAGAAUCGCUUUAACUCAGGAGGCGGAGGUUGCAGUGAGCUGAGAUUGUGCCACAGCACUCCAGCCUGGGUGACAGAGUGAGACUCUGUCUCAAAAAAAAAAAAAAAA